CCUCGGAUCAGGUAGGGAUACCCGCUGA
rnacentral:ncRNA from 3 species